rnacentral:piRNA from 1 species
UAAGAUGAAUCGUUUGUUUUAGGUGAGUGU